CCGCCUCCUUUAAAACAACAAAAAAGGCUCCACACCGGCACUGACCUUGGCCAAGCCCCCCCGGUCCCGGAGCAGCGACCGGGGAGGAAGCACGGUGACACGGAUAUUCAUUAUCCGCGGAGCCCGGCUGGGCGAUCGCCGCUCCGCGGCUGCUGGACCAGGGGGAAUGCGCUGCCAGCCCCGCGCGGUGCGAGAACGCCGCUCCGAUCAACACAAAGGCACGUGGAAGCAAGGCUGGGAUGUGCUGGAGGAGCUGGGUGGGCCGGGCAGAGCCGCGGGGCAGCAGCGGCAGCAUCCCUACACAUCCCCCCGCGGGAAGGGACCGAGCACCGGGAGCUUGGUGGCUCUCGGCUGCCCCGCCCUGCCCGCAGGUGUGUGCCACUGCCAGGAAAUUGUGGUGCUUUCAGAUGUGUUUUCAUCUCCAAAUCCUCCUGUCCAUCCCAAAUUUGCUGGAGAAGGCUUUCAGAAGUGCCGAUGAGGAAGGAUUCCCUUUUUUGUGCCAUGGAAAGGUGCUGUGGGUGCCCAGCACUGCCAGGGUACAGCCAGGAACCAGCAGCUCACACACGUGGAAGAUUAAAAUGGCAUCAAUUUGAGUGGUAACAUCAAAACUAAAUGGAACAAUUUAUUGAAAUUAAAUGCUUUGGAAGAAAAAAUUAUCCUCUGAAGGUCAAAAUGAAUGGUUCAGAUUUUUCUUCCCAUCAAUAGUUUCCUACAUGUUCCCACAAAAUGAGUUGAUUUCAGCAAAGCUGUGCUUGCCAAUAAAGAUCAUUUCCACUGAAACCCUUUCCAUCCUUCCUGCUGCCAAAAGAGCUCUGCCUGCAGCUGAGCACCCCACAGAUC